UACAGAGGUCUCAAGCGUUGUUCGGAUUCAUUGGGCGUAAAGGGUGCGUAGGCGGCGUGGUAAGUCGGAUGUGAAAUCUCGGAGCUUAACUCCGAAACUGCAUUGGAUACUAUCCGGCUCGAGGAAUGGAGGGGAGACUGGAAUACUUGGUGUAGCAGUGAAAUGCGUAGAUAUCAAGUGGAACACCAGUGGCGAAGGCGAGUCUCUGGACAUUUCCUGACGCUGAGGCACGAAAGCCAGGGGAGCAAACGGG
rnacentral:rRNA from 1 species